CUGAGGGGGCUCCGUGCGCUGGGUGCUGGGGAAUGGUGUGAGGUGAGAGGGGAGCGGCCCCCAUGGGAGCAGCCGGGCGCUGCCUGGCCCCGAGCCCCGCAGGGCCCGCAGGGCCCCGCCGCCUCCUCCGCCCCGCGGGGGCCGCUCCGGGCUCCGGGAGCAGCCCCGCAGCCGGUCCCGAUUCCCCUCCUCCCUCCAGCCCCGCGCGGCCCCUUUAAGGCGGCGGGAGGCUCCCGCCGGGCAGCGCCGCGUGGGAGUCACGUGGGCGGGACGUGCAGGCAGCCCAUUGGCCCGCCGCCCCCCCGCGCGCGGCAAUCAGCUGUUACUGGGGCGAAGGGCAGGGGGCGGCCUUAAAGGGGCCGCGCCGCUCCCCCAGCACCUCCCCGCACCCUGCUCAGCGCCUGGCGACGGCCGAGGCUGAAGCUGGGGGAAGGCUCCGGGGCCUCCCGCGGAGUCGCGGCGGGCGCUAGGGGCCCGGCCCGCUCGGGUGGGCCCACAGCGAGGGGUGGGGGCGCGGCCCCUUUAAAGAAGUUGUCCAGUCAUCGCGCCGCGCUGCCAAGCCGCGGGGUCAGGCGGGUUCGCGCCGCCCCGCCCCCGCCGCGCUCCCAUUGGCUGGCGGCCCCCGGCGCUCACUUGUGAUUGGCUGCCGACUUGAGGCAACUUCUGGGAAGCGGCCGGCGCCAGCCCUUAAAGGCGCCGCCCCGGCACGCAGGGAGGGGGCGGCCGGGGCAAGGCAGCGCCGCGCCCCGCGGGGACCGAGCGGCGCCGGGCCCUUUAAGCGCGCCCCCCGCGGCUCCCCUCUCCCCUCCCCCGCCGCCUCUUCGCCCUCUGGAAAAUGCCAACUCACAGCACGCGGUGCAUGCUGGGAACCCCGCGCCGCACUACAACUCCCAGCAUACCCCUCGGCGGGGAUGGGGUGGGCGUGGCCUGUUUCCUUGGCAACCGCCGGGCCGGCCGGCACCGAGCCGCGAGGAGCCGGGGCCGGGACCGGCGCUGGAAUCCGGAGCAGAUGGACCCGGCACGCCAGGAAUGUGCGGCAUCUCCCCGCCGCCCCCCCCCCCCCCCCCCCGGCCCCUCCGCCACCACCCCAAAAACCCGGCGGCGGCGGCUGGCCCCCGGCCAGGUGGGACCCUGCCAGCACGCGGAUGCCUGAGCUGCCGCCCCGCUGCCCUGCUCCUGGCUGCCCAGCACCAGUUCUUCAGUGGCAAGCUUUAUGUCCUCUUCUAGUAGCUAAAGCUGCCAGUUGAAGAACUGUUGAAUGCAGCCCCUCUCUUCUCGUCACCGAGGUGCAACCCGAGGGACCGGGAUCAGCGGCGUCCUGCGGGCUCACCCCUCCGAGAGCCGAGGAUGAGGAGGGCGGGGAUGAAGAGCGCAGCCGGCAGCAUCCAGGCAGAGCCGUGGCUGGAGGAGCUGUAAAAACGGGGCUGUAAAACGGGGAGCGGGGUGUCCCCGCCGGCCGGGGGGGUGGCGUUGAGCUGGGACAGCAGGAGAAGGCUCGGAAAGAGGCAUUAAACUUUCUGUUUUCCUCCACA